GCCGAAGUGGCGGAACUGGCAGACGCGCUAGGUUCAGGGUCUAGUGGUCGAAAGGCCGUGCGGGUUCGACUCCCGCCUUCGGCACCA
rnacentral:tRNA from 1 species